rnacentral:lncRNA from 10 species
AUUCCCACAGUUGAGGGCGCAUCACCCUAGUCUUUAGGCAGAGAGUGCUUCCCAUCAUGGCCUGGGCCCCAGCUCCCCUCACAUGCUCGGUGCUGCUGGGGAGGCUUGGGAAGGGGCGUGGAGGCAUACCGUCUGAUUUGGGGAGCUUGUGUCCUGUUGAGAGAGAGGACAUGCACACACCCGCCUGCACAGCAAGAACUUCCAAACCUGGCUGCUUAACGUACUCCAGGGAUAUUUCAAGUGAGAAGUGCAGGAAUAUGGAAGCAGGGACUCAAGCAGGAACCAUGGAUGUUGGGGCGUCCAUGAAGGGGUAGCCCUGACUAAAGGAAGAUUUAAGGAAAAGCACCACUCUUUGUAUCCAAAAUAAGGCCAGUGCCUGUUGUUUCUUAUGUUAUUACUGGAGAAAAGGUCAGGGCUGGGCUCUCGGGCUCCCCACGUGUGAGGUUCUUGGGACUGAAGCCUUUGCCUCCAACAGUCUCUUGGGGUCAGAGGCUGUUUUGUUCUUGUUUCCUCAGUUAAGCUGCAGUGGUAACAGGCCGACACACAGGAAAUCAUAAGUCAGGAGGGCCACUGCCACGCAGGAAAGACCCAUCUGAACUGCUGCAAAAGCUCCGUGUCGAUUUAUUGCUUCCACAAAUAGUGCCGAUAUGCACCAGGCACUGUUGUAAAACUGAAAAUAUGUUUUUGGAUGUGCCCAGUCUGUGAGUAUUAAACGAUGGUUGAUUUGAAAUUUGCUAUGAUUCAUAUUUCUGGGGGUAAGAUGCAGGAUUUCUUUGGGGGGCCUAGGAUGUGGCAUUCCAGAAUUCUCAAAGAAUCAACCCUGGUGGGACCAGGAAGAGCUGAGCUGAGGCCUCUCUGCUCAUGUGUACUUACUGGAGAUCAUGGAGACAGGUGAGCCUGAGUGCACGUCUCACCAAAGCCACAGCAGAGGGGGAGGAGGCGGAAAGAGAGCUCUCUCCAUUUCUGAGAAGUUAAUGGUAACAAUGGCAUACAUACCUACUUUACAGUUGAAAUUGGAAACCACAGCAUUAAGUGUUUCCAAUGAAAUUUGGCAAUUUGGGAGUUUUCUGAGCUGCAUUGGAUGUGGUUUUGCAUGCUGUUAGGAUGAGCAAGAGAUGAUGGAGAACAUCUUCCUUUUGAGCUUCCUCUUGGACGUGGGUCACUCCCACUCAUGGAAUUAGAAAGCUUAGACCUAGACUUGAAUCUCACCUUCUCAAGGUGCUCCCGGGCAAAUCACUUAAGAUCCAUCUUCUUCUCCUCCUGCUCCUUCUCCUCCUUCUGAGUUUUUUUUUUUCUUUCCAAAAUUCAAAUGACACGGUACUGGUAGAAGAAAAGGUCCAAGUCUGCUUUUACAGCUCCCCUCAUCCCCAAAUGUACUCCGACCCCAAGAUGACCAUGUUAUUAUUUGAUUGGCAUCCUUCUAGUUUCAACUCAUUUCUUUGCAUGUAUAUGCACGUACAUAUACACUAUUUUAUUUUGCCAGGGGUCACGGUUAGCUGCAUUAAUUUCUUUUA